rnacentral:sRNA from 1 species
AUAUCUCUCCGUACGGGAAGGAUGAGAAGCUUCGAUUAAGGUUCGAUUCGAGCGCAGCGAGAAAGCGUUGCCGCAGGCAACGACCCGAAGGGCGAAGCGCGCAGCGC